GUGGGGAAUUGUUCGCAAUGGGCGCAAGCCUGACGACGCAACGCCGCGUGGGGGAUGAAGGUCUUCGGAUUGUAAACCCCUGUUGGGUGGGACGAACACCUCCGUGGUGAAUAUCCAUGGAGGCUGACGGUACCAUCUGAGGAAGCCCCGGCUAACUCUGUGCCAGCAGCCGCGGUAAUACAGAGGGGGCAAGCGUUGUUCGGAAUUACUGGGCGUAAAGGGCGCGUAGGCGGCCUGUUAAGUCAGACGUGAAAUCCCUCGGCUCAACCGGGGAACUGCGCCUGAUACUGGCGGGCUUGAAUUCGGGAGAGGGAUGUGGAAUUCCAGGUGUAGCGGUGAAAUGCGUAGAUAUCUGGAGGAACACCGGUGGCGAAGGCGGCAUCCUGGACCGACAUUGACGCUGAGGCGCGAAAGCCAGGGGAGCAAACGGGAUUAGAAACCCCUGUAGUCC
rnacentral:rRNA from 1 species